ensembl:lncRNA
CCCAUUUAAAGGCUGACUCCCGAGGAGGAAGGUUCUCUAUCUGGAGAUCAUUCCUCUUGGAGUCCUUCUGUGAGCCCAGGAUACGGGAAGAUGCAGCUUGAAGAAAGAUGACCAAGAUGAACUUGCUGGGAAAAAUGCAGUCCAUCUUCUUCAGCACUGAAGACAAAUAGAGAUACGCUUAGAAAGGCAGAGGUGGCAGGAGGGCAGGGCUCGGCUCGGGCUGGCUCGUGGUGACACAUUGCACUGGUAGCUUUUUAUGGUGCUCAUCAUGCUGAUGAUCUGAUUGCCUCCCAGGUGCUAAUGAAUAUCUCCUGCAAUGGGCCUGUGAGAUAGACUCAUAAAUUACUCCUGGUACACAAAAUGCGUGGGAGGCUGCCUGUUUGCUCAGCAUGGGACCAAGACCUGCACAUUCAAAUAUCGGCAGACAGCUGGAACGCAAUCUGUGAAAAGGCACUCAGAGCCUCCAGGUCUAUUAAAUACAAACUCAGAACAUCUAUCGAGAAUUUUAUAUCUUACAUUACACGGGUAAUGCUAAAAAGAAUAGGUGUUAUACCCCUGGGACAGUAAAUGCAGCGUCAGUAUCCGAAAAAAUCUUUCUUUUGUGGUUGGUGGAUCAGUGUGUGCAUGGGGGUAUGGAUGCGUAUAUAUGGUUGUGUAUGAAUUUGUAUGUGUAUUCCUAUAUAUAUAUGUUUGAGAAAGGACAAUCAGCCUGGACAGUUGGGCAGAGGAACCGUAUGAGGUUCGAUAGGGGCAAGUGGAGAGUCCUGUGCCUUGGGGAAGAAAGGCUGCACACACAGGUACAGGUUAAAGGAUGACCUCAUGGAGAGGAGCUCUGCAGAAAAGGACUUGGGUGUCCUGGCAGCCAACAGGUUGGCCAUGAGCCAGCAGUGUGCCCUUGUGGGCAAUGGUAUCCUGGGGUGCAUUAAAAAGAGCUUGUCCAGAAGGUUGAGAGUGGUGAUCCUCCCCCUCUACUCCACCCUGGUGAGGCCACCUCUGGAGUACUAUGUCCAGUUCUGGGCUCCUCAGUUCAAGAAAGACAGAGAACUUCUGACAGUCCAGCAAAGGACCACAAGGAUGAUUUGUGGCCUGGAGAAUCUCCCUGAUGAGGAGAGGCUGAGACACUUGGGACCGAUCAGCCUGAAGAACAGAUGACUGAUAGAGAAUCUUAUCAAUGGCUAUAAAUAUCUAAUGGGUGGGUGUGAAGUGGAUGUUUCUGAUGUUGGGAAAAUCUCCAUUAUGGAGAUUUAGCUGCCAUAUGGCCUUUUUUUUUUUUUUUUUUUUUUCAUACAGGCUGUAUUUUUCAAAAUUCACUGUCUGAUUCUGCAAUUUAGUCUACAGGCCAUUGCUUAUCCCAACCCAUGAAGUGGUCUGCGAUGGCAUUUACACUGCCUUCACCUGGUGUGGAUGCACAGAUUUUCCCAACAUAUUUUACUUUCCUGGUGCCCACAGUAUCACAAAUUACCACAGUAAUCAAAAUUUGGAAAAAUGCUUUACUCAGUCUUUAAUCUAAAGGCCACCUCUUGAUUAAGCUGGUUUUGAAUAUGAGCCAGAUAUGUUUCCAGCUGCGAGUAAGGCCCAGGUAUUCAGGCUAGUCAUACGUCAAAUUUGAUUAGCAGCAUAAUCCAUUGGGCACGGAAAUGUUUCAUGAACAUUUCAAAGCAUCUCAGGAUGCACAUGGGUUGCAGUUGUCGACUGUGCAGACGCUGUUGGAUAUACCUUGUUUUGGAAAGGAAGAAUCUGAUUAUGAAAGAAAUAACGUGUUCAGGCUUUAUGUUGUAGUGUUGUCCUGAAAGUUUUGUUAAAACACAAUGUGAUGAAUGUGUGCUUCAUUUUGGGUGCUCGGGGAAGGCAGCGCAGGGGUGCAUGGUGGUGGGUGAAGAGUGUGCUGGAGGGAGAUGUAUUUGUGACGUGAUCUUUCCCCAAAGAAAACUGAAUCCUCUAUAUUUCUCCCCAGAAAUUGGUUGUUUCUGGAAUAUUUUGGCUCUUUCAGGAAUAAAAUGUGGUCAGGAGGGAAGAGGAGAGAUGUAAAAACAAAUAAUACUUUCUGCGUGGCUCUAUUUCAAAGCAAAAUGCCUCUGGUGGGUUUGACAAGUGCUGGGAAGAAGGCCUAUUCUCCUGUCAGGGUAGCUGCUUGUUCACAUAGAACAUUAUUUAAGUUGCACCAAGUUUUUUUUUACCUUGGUGUAUCCUUCAGUCACGUGGGAUAGAAGCUGUGUGCCUACAAGGCCUACUUGAUGCAUGGAAAAUACUUUGGGAUUUUUGAAAGAGAUAGAUAAAAACCCAAACUAGCUAUUUUUCAGUGUAGAGUUGCUAAAAAAAAAAUUAAUAAAAUUUGGUUUAGGAGGCAGGGAUGAGGUGCAGUGCUGGUGGUAAAAGCAUUCAUUAGGAGGAGUACAACAAGCAGGCAUACAUGGUGAGUUUGCUAGCAACUCCUGCUACAAAAUGUGGGUGAAUUUUUCAGCAGCAUAAGCUGUCAUGGGACAUAUAAUUCUCAUCUUGGAGCUACUGUUGGCAUUCUGUUUUUAUAUCCCUGGGGGAGAAAAAAAAAGUAUCUAUUUUAUAACAUUCUAUACGAGGUAGAAAAAAUCGCUCUCCAACUUUGCCAUCCAGUUGUGCAAUAAUAAAUGAAGUAUCACAGUUUAAGAUGCAGUUGUUGUUCUCUCACAUCACCUGACUAAUGCAUCCUGACACCUCAAUCGCAUUAAAUGUGGAGGGCCCCCCCAGUUCUGCUCUGUGCCUGUUCUGGUGAACUGGGCUGGCUGCGGCCACUGGCAGUGGGGCGGGAGUCAAGGAUGGGGUAUCUCACCCCUUGCUGCCAUCAGAUAUCUCUGCUGAGGCCUCUACAGGGGCAGUGCUUCCAUUUGUGUGCCUGUGUACCUGCUGCCCUUAGCAAAUUUAAAAAGUAAUGAGAGUGAAAUCUCAAAGCUACCGGACCGAAACGCAGCGGUGUGCAGCCAGGAGCUGCCGUGCCUUAUGUGUUACUGCCACGGGUGCCUCAUAAGAGAGUGGAAGAAUAUGAUCAGCAGCUAUUGUGAGUGUAAUGAAUAGAGCCUUUCAAAAUAAGUGUGGAAGCACACUGGGAAAACUCCUUCUAGUUACUUGUAUUGAUAUCCCCAAUAAAAUUGCUUCCCACACAUGUUUUGUGACUGACACUGCUUUUCCCUGGAUGUGUAAUAAUCAAAACCCAGUAAGGGAAAUUAGCAAGGUGUUUUUACUUUCUUUUUUUUUUUUUUUCCCAAGAGAAAACAAUUGCUUGUUCUUUUAUCCCACCAGCCCAACCCUGCAUUCCCACCCUCGUCUGCUGCAUGCACUGCCUGUGAGCCCCAGCAGGAUGUGAAGUGCGCCAAUGGGUCCUUGGGCAUUGCUGCCAGACCUGGCCACUUCCAGACUGUAGCAAAAUUCCUCAGCCCGUCUCCAUGCAAACACAAUUACUGUCAUUAAAUCCACACUGUGAUACACAAUGUCUCGGCGAUGCACCCCGACGAGCCCGUGCAUUGAACUGAAUGACUCCUACUGCAGCUAAAUACUGUACUCGGCUGUUAAGACAACACCGCACAUUUGGCUCCUACUGGUGAUGAGUGGUCUGUGAAGCAGCCUGAUGGCUUUCUAAAGGCCUGAGAUCGUGGUAACACCAUGAGAGGCAUGGAAAAAGACAUCUCCAUCCCUCCCUCCAAGGCUCAUCCUGCAGGCUGCAGCUGCUGCAGAUGGAAAGCAGACAGGGCUGGUCCUGGUGGAGCGGAGGAUGUUGCUACAUAGACAGGCAGGUUGAGGACACAUCAGUUCAGCUCCUGAAGCAUGGUGUUUCGAUGGAGUUUGCUUCCUCCACAUGUGAGAAAAGAAACUGAGGAGCUGAUGGCAUUGGUGCUAUGCAGGGCUCAGGACCCUGUGAGCAGUGAGGUCCCACUGCGGCUCUGGGUGCCAAUCCCCUCCUGCCCCACGCAACCAUCACCUCCCCCUUAGGAAUCUUAACAGAGCCCAUAAUAUUUAAUGGCUUUGCUAGUGAUAAUGUCAUUUUAAGUGAUGAAUUGCUCCCACACGUCACAGAAUUCUGUUUCUAAAUUUUUAUGUAUUUUUGAUAGGCCAAUUUAUCCCCGCUGCAGUUCCAGCCCGUGCAGUCAAUGGCAUUCCACUGGGGGUGAAUUUUGUCUGCUAUUUACAGUGUGUGCUUUUAAGCAGUGAUUGGUGUGACAGUGUGAUCUGUACAGCUGUCUCCCUGUAUUUAUUCUUUUGCCUAUAAGGUUGAUUUAUACUAGC